rnacentral:rRNA from 1 species
UACAGGGGGUGCAAACGUUGCUCGGAAUCAUUGGGCGUAAAGCGCACGUAGGCGGUUCGUUAUGUCGGAUGUGAAAGCCCUUGGCUUAACCGAGGAAGUGCAUCCGAAACUGGCGAGCUAGAGUACUAAAGAGGAUCGCGGAAUUCCCGGUGUAGAGGUGAAAUUCGUAGAUAUCGGGAGGAACACCGGUGGCGAAGGCGGCGAUCUGGGUAGAUACUGACGCUGAGGUGCGAAAAGCGUGGGGAGCAAACAGG